rnacentral:rRNA from 1 species
CAGCCGCCGCGGGAAUACGGAGGAUCCAAGCGUUAUCCGAAAUCAUUGGGUUUAAAGGGUCCGUAGGCGGUCUUGUAAGUCAGUGGUGAAAGCCCAUCGCUCAACGGUGGAACUGCCAUUGAUACUGCAGGACUUGAAUUAUUGGGAAGUAACUAGAAUAUGUAGUGUAGCGGUGAAAUGCUUAGAGAUUACAUGGAAUACCAAUUGCGAAGGCAGGUUACUACCAAUUGAUUGACGCUGAUGGACGAAAGCGUGGGUAGCGAACAGGAUUAGAUACCCCCGUAGUCCCUGUCUCUUAUAC